AUCACCCCCAGGACUCACGAGUCUCCUCUGGGCCCAGCUCCUCCCCUUCUUCAUAGCCUAGCUCCAGCCCCCAGUCUUCAAAAGAGGCUGCUCUGGCUCUCCUGAGUAGGUCAGACCUGCUUUUUAUAGAGUCUCGUGGCAUUUCCUUCUCCACGCUUGUCAGAGCCACAAAUUAACAUUUGAGGAUCAUCUACCUCCCCCAGUAGAAUGUAAAUUCCACAAGCUGAUCCUGAAUAGAACUAUUCAACCUCAAAAUGAUUUCUGGAUUCAGACCUCAGGAAAAAGGGAACGUUCCAGAACUGGGUCUUG
ensembl:lncRNA